GGGAUGUGCUGUGUGACUCAGCCCAGCAGACAGCAGCUGCUCUGACACCUUGGCUACAGCACACUGUGGUGUCUAAAGAGCUGCUCUUGAUCAAUAACUUUCCUCCCCAUCUCUGUGAGCAGCAGGGUGGGAGAGGGAAUAAUCUGCCUCAGAAAGUGUCUCACUGCUCUGCUUAGCUGAGGGGUUUAAUUUCCAUUGUUUGUCUCCUGUGUCUCUUUCUGUUCUUGAUAGAUUUCCCCAGCCUCACUGAUGCUAAUCUCAUUGUCCAGGAAUCAGCAAAGGGUAAUUAGCCUCUGUGAUAAUGAUCUAUCUGUCACAAGAUCAUGCCCUCUCAUUGCACACCAUCUCGGAUGUUGUCUAACCUAGCACAGGAGUACGGAGCACAGCCAUGCACAGAGCUUAACCAAAAAGAAGCAGAAGCCCUUGCUGGGGAAGCAUGGAUGUUGCUCCACCAAUUCUGAAACAGAAAAAAACCAAAUCAUUUGUGAAGAGAACUUCAAGGAAGAACUUUACUGCGAGGAGGCCUGAUCAAGAAAUAUAUCUGACUUCCUGAGAAUUAGCAUGAUUUUGAGGAGAAAUGUGUUCUCUGCCCCAUCCCACUGUGAAGAUGAGGAGUGAGGGAAUGACUGUGUAGUUCUGAGCCAUCUGAGGAGUUAAACUGCAAAGCAAUGACAGCUUAGGGACAACAGAAGCCCUCAGAGAGCUUGGCCAUGUUUUCACAUCACUCUUCAUUGCAUCAGCUACCUGUUCUCCCUGCAGAAAACCUCCAGAAGUCAUCUGUGACAUCUUCUGCAGCUUUUUGAUCUCCUGAGAUGUGAGAGGGAUCCUGGCUGAAGGGCUUGCAGCUUUGAGAUGAGGCAGGCACAUAUGAGACAAGGCAGCCACCUCUGUUGAUCCCUCAUCCUCAUGCAUGGUAGUAAGGAAGAAAGCUAUGAAUUACAAAUUUUGAAUUUUGCUCUGGGUGUGGACUCACUGGUGGUCAUGAGUGAGGACCUCAGGUGCUUCUAGGCUGGAAGGGAAGAAUGGGACCAGAUGUACACCAGGCAGUCAAAGCGGUCGAAGCUCUGUACACCCACAGCUUGCUGGUGAGCACUGGGUUUUGAAAAUGGAGGAAGGUAAAGAGAGAACUAAUGCAGGUAGGCUGUGGCUGUUGUACGUGUGGCCAUGUGUUCCUGGUUCCUCCCUGUAUUCUCUCUAGUGAAUCUUGCUUCCUGGUUCAGUGUUUUCGUAAUAAUGGCAUAUUAAUAACUACGUAACCCACUGUCUUCUCUAUCCUUGACUCAGUUCCCAGAAGCCCCACUCCUUCCCAUCCCUUCAUGCCCCUCCCUGCCACCAUGAGAGAUGAACAGAAGCAGGCUCUCCUUCUGUAUCUCUGGCUCAGGUGACCUUUCCACAGCUGCCACUUUGAACCUGCCUCAUGGAGGGGGCUUGUGCCCCUUGUGCUCUGCUGCUCUAGGGGAGCGAGACUUGGCUCCAGCAGGCUCACAAGUACACCCCUGUAGAGAGGAGCAGGGAUAAAUGGAGGAUUAACCGCAGCUAUGGGUCUGCCGUCAAAAUGUCUAGAAAGCCUAUUUUUUAAACAACCUGAUUGCAUGUAGGAGUAAUUUCAGUGGCCUGUACUUCUUAGCUCUUUUUUUGUAUUUUGUGGUAUGUGUCAGUGAACAGAACUUAAUAAUACUUCACCCAUAUGAACCUCUGUGAUUGCAUGCAGUUUCAGCAGAAAAACAAAAUUAAUUCUCUCACUUCACAGUAGUUUUUUGGAUAAUAAGCUGACCUUUUGCAUUUAUUUUGUACAUAGAAAACACUACUAAUUCAUUAAGAUAGGGAUCUGCAGAUUAACAUUUUAAGUGUUACUGAAAACAACAAAUUAUGUUAUUUAUAGAGAUUUGAAAUUAUACCUAUUUGAGGCUGCGAGUGCACAAAAUUUAAAACAUAAGAAUAAAAAUAUCUGCCACAGAAGAUUCAAAUCUUACAGGUUUCUACAAUUUACAUAAUGUGAAAAGCAACAACAGCAAUGCUCAUGAAGAAUGCAGAUGAUGUAUAACAGAGUUGGUUCUUACUCUGAUUGCAAACCAACCAUUAAGUCACUACCAGUCUAUUGCUUUCGUUUAAAAAACCAUUAUGUAGAUGAAAUAUACUUGCUUUCAGGUAAUUCUUUUAAUGAUUAAUUUUGCUGGUAUAUCACCAUGAGAUGUCACAGUAUGAUGAUAAUUAGUAAAUAUAAUAAAACAGUAGCUAAAUGUAACAAAUGAUAUUAUAAGUAGAUCAACACUGGUUUUCUAUGAGAGACGCUGUUGAGGUUUGUCCAAAGAUUCAAUAUCGUUUUUAAUUUUUACUAUUAAAUAAUUGGUGCAGCUUGAAAGAGAGAAAUUUCUAGAGAUGGGAGUUACAUUCAUUGUCAUAAUCAACUCCAAGUACUCGUCAUUGACUGCUCUGGGAUAUUUUGGCUCACAGGGCAGCAUUAAGGCCAAUGUUUGCACCUUUAUCUCAGUUGCUGGAAUUCUCUGGUACGCACUUUCUAUUAGGAAAGGUCUAGAUACACUGAAACAUAGCACAUUUGUAAAGCAGAUGAAGAAACUAGUCAGGAGGUUUGCUGACAGCAAAUUUUGUUUAGCUAGUUUUACUAUAAGCAAUUUACUCUACAUGUGCAUUUCUGCAUUCAAAUUGUUCUUUAUUAAGAUCCUUCCCUAAUAAUAUAAAAAUGUGUUUAUAAAGCCUGUAAGUGGUUUCUGUAAUAAGAUUUUUAAUGAGUUGGAAUAUUAAAUUAAGUUUUGUAGAAAUGCUUGAGGUGUUGUUAUAACUAACUUACAAACUGUACACCAUUAACUUUAUCAUAUAGAGUAAUUUUGGUUUCUAUUCAAG
rnacentral:lncRNA from 1 species